AAGCAGGAUUAUUUCAGCGUCAUAGAUACACCAAUGGAUUUUGGAACGAUAUGUAGCGAUCUUCAAAAUCGUGUCAAGUACCUGAACUCAGAAGAUGUAUAUAAAGCUGUCCAGUACAUUUGGGAGAAUUGUCGUAAAUAUAACAAGAAGGGUGACUAUAUCGUGUACCUUAUGAAGAGAGUGAAGAAGAAGUUUAUGAAAUACUGGACAGCAGCAGGGCUAUGUAGUGAGAUAAUGAAGAAGCCUAGUGGUAUGAAUUUCAUGAUUAUGAUUUUUCUGGAUUUGGCUUGACUUGCCUCCCACAAUUCUUCUGGACAAAAAUUUUAUGGAUCAAGGCUCAGGUUUUGUAUAAAACGCUAGUGAAGAGGGGGCAAAAACAUUAAACAUGUAUCCAUUGUACACUGUGUUUUGUUUAUUUGGGAGAAAAAAUUAGCUAUUUAUAGAAGAUUAGUUGCAGGGCCUGAUUUUUUACCUUCAUCUAUAAUUCUCUUCUUUUUUUUUUUUUUUUGACAGACACUCGAAUCUUUUAGUGGUUUCACCAUUUAGAGAACAAACUAACCUGAGAACUAAAUGUAGAAAUUGUUAUUGCAUAGAAGCUGUUUUAGUUAUGGCCAAGGAAAAAGAAUGGCUCUUACAGAUGGGGGGAGGGACAGUUUAAAAGAUUGCAUUCUAAUAUAAGGGUACAAUGCAUUUGUCUGUUUUUUUGUUUCACAAUCUGACCGGUGUCCUCAAUACACUAUCUUGUCUCUUUUCUUCACCCUUGUAUUUAAAAUAAAAUUUCUGAAAGAGCUGCUUUGAACAAAUCAUAAUUAUUUCAUAUUUCCAUUAUGGCAUUAAUUUUCAAAGUGGUUAUUGUUCAGGGUAUUGUGCAUGCUUAUGCUAUUAUACCCUUUUUUUUGUGAGUUAUGAUGCGUUUCUUCAUGAUAAUCUAUCUAUAACACGGAUUCUUCUUUCUCUGUCUCUCUCUUACAUGUUGGGGACUGGGGGUGUUGGUCGCAAGCAGGAUUAUUUCAGCGUCAUAGAUACACCAAUGGAUUUUGGAACGAUAUGUAGCGAUCUUCAAAAUCGUGUCAAGUACCUGAACUCAGAAGAUGUAUAUAAAGCUGUCCAGUACAUUUGGGAGAAUUGUCGUAAAUAUAACAAGAAGGGUGACUAUAUCGUGUACCUUAUGAAGAGAGUGAAGAAGAAGUUUAUGAAAUACUGGACAGCAGCAGGGCUAUGUAGUGAGAUAAUGAAGAAGCCUAGUGGUAUGAAUUUCAUGAUUAUGAUUUUUCUGGAUUUGGCUUGACUUGCCUCCCACAAUUCUUCUGGACAAAAAUUUUAUGGAUCAAGGCUCAGGUUUUGUAUAAAACGCUAGUGAAGAGGGGGCAAAAACAUUAAACAUGUAUCCAUUGUACACUGUGUUUUGUUUAUUUGGGAG
rnacentral:lncRNA from 1 species